rnacentral:snRNA from 1 species
AAAUCACUUGAACCUAGGAGGCGGAGGUUGCGGUGAGCCAAGAUCAUGCCAUUGCACUCCAGCCUGGGUAACAAGA